CCGGCCUCACCUCAGCAAGUCUCACGCCCCGCAAGGGGCGUGGCAUCCGGGUGCGUCACACGUGGGCACGCACCCUUUGGUUCGGUCAAACCCUGGGUCAAACUCGGGCUCAUCCCGGCUCCGCGCGCUCGCGGAAAGGUUUCACGCCGAAGGCUCGGCCCGCGUCUGCUUAGCUAGUUGGUGCGGUCACGGCUCACCAAGGCUCCUCUCAGUAGCUGGUCUGAUCGGAUGAUCAGCCACAUUGGGCCUGAGCCACGGCCCAAACUCCUACGGGAGGCAGCAGUGGGGAAUAUUGGACAAUGGGCGCAAGCCUGAUCCAGCCAUGCCGCGUGAGUGAUGACGGCCCUAGGGUUGUAAAGCUCUUUUACCUGGGAAGAUAAUGACGGUACCAGGAGAAUAAGCCCCGGCUAACUUCGUGCCAGCAGCCGCGGUAAU
rnacentral:rRNA from 1 species